AUUGAACGCUGGCGGCAGGCCUAACACAUGCAAGUCGAACGCGUGGCGGACGGGUGAGUAAUGUCUGGGAAACUGACUGAUGGAGGGGGAUAACUACUGGAAACGGUCGCUAAUACCGCAUACCAUCAGAUGUGCCCAGAUGGGAUUAGCUAGUUGGUAGGGUAACGGAACACCAGGGCGACGAUCCCUAGCUGGUCUUAGAGGAUAACAAGCCAAACUGGAACGGAGACACGGGCCAGACUCCUACGGGAGGCAGCAGUGGGGAAUAUUGCACAAGUGGCGCAAGCCUGAUGCAGCCAUGCCGCGUGUAUGAAGAAGGCCUUCGGGUUGUAAAGUACGUUCAGCGGGGAGGCGUUACCCGCAGAAGAAGCACCGGCUAACUCCGUGCCAGCAGCCGCGGUAAUUC
rnacentral:rRNA from 1 species